rnacentral:rRNA from 1 species
AUUGAACGCUGGCGGCAUGCCUUACACAUGCAAGUCGAACGGCAGCACGGACUUCGGUCUGGUGGCGAGUGGCGAACGGGUGAGUAAUAUAUCGGAACAUACCUUGUAGUGGGGGAUAACUAUCCGAAAGGAUAGCUAAUACUUCAUACGCUCUAAGGAGGAAAGCGGGGGAUCGUAAGACCUCGUGCUAUAAGAGUGGCCGAUAUCUGAUUAGCUAGUUGGUGAGGUAAAGGCUCACCAAGGCGACGAUCAGUAGCUGGUCUGAGAGGACGACCAGCCACACUGGAACUGAGACACGGUCCAGACUCCUACGGGAGGCAGCAGUGGGGAAUUUUGGACAAUGGGGGCAACCCUGAUCCAGCAAUGCCGCGUGAGUGAAGAAGGCCUUCGGGUUGUAAAGCUCUUUUGUCAGGGAAGAAACGGUUGUGGCUAAUAUCCAUGGCUAAUGACGGUACCUGAAGAAUAAGCACCGGCUAACUACGUGCCAGCCGCCGCGGUAAUAC